UUGGAUAAGAAUGCUUUCAAGGCCACACA
rnacentral:piRNA from 1 species